UUCCCUCUUUUCACCUCAACCCUCCGGGUCUGGGGAUUCCGGUUCUCACCGGGUCCUCCCCGACACAGGUUUCUCCAGUCUUCCUCCUGGCUUCCGCUUCCCUUUUCUUUCCUUCCCCCGCCCAGGUUUCCAAUUACUUCCUGGGCUGGGGCUCUAGUUCAACCCAGGAUCCCUCGCUCCCAAAACGCCGGCUCCUCGGCGUCUGAAGAACCGCCAACGUCAACCCUCCUCCGCCCAGGAGGAGCGAACCCGCGCACCCUGAAACCCCCAGGAGUCUCCGGGGCGUGGCGUGGACUUUGCGACCUUUGCCCUCCCCGCGGCCCUCGAAAACCUGGACAUUUUCAGUGUUGGACUACGCUUCCCACAGGCCUCAGGGCUACGAAUGAACGUCGACUUUUGGUUCCCCUUCCGGUAUCGUCGUGGUUAUUGGGUUAUGCCUGUUCUGCAAGAGAAACCCCCUGAAGUGGAGGAGAGCUUUGCCACUUAAAAGCCCAUUCAAGUUUUGACGGAGGAGCAUGUCAUCGGAGUUCCUCACGCUGUCAUGGCAGAAAUGGAACUCCCGGACCAAUUCUUUACAGUUCUAAGCAUGGAUCAUGUAAGUUGCUGGAUCUGUCUCCUUUGUGAAUUUCCUUUUUCUGAACCUUCCUACCAAAUAGAGCCUGCCCUACAUUGCCAUAGUUUUUCACUUUCUAGUGAGAGCUGGAACCAAACAUAACAGUGUAACUCCUAAUGUGCCUAUCUAUUCUCCGAAUAAUGUUCAACACUCUUAUUUGUUCAGUCUUUUGUCUACAGCAGCUAUAGAGUAGAAAUGGAAUCUCUAGAUGGAGAUAUUUCCAUAUUCUUGGAUAGAGAAAAAGAUCAGAUAUAUCCAUUUGAUUACAUAUGGGCAAACUCUGUACUUCUCCUGAAGAGACACGAAUUUCCGAUCUCGACUGGUUUCCGUCAUACAUAAACAGAGGAUUGUAGACUUCCAGAGUUGGAGAAGACCUUAUCCACUGUAAAUGUCUAAAUACAAUUAAGCCACUAUUUUUUCACCAAAUAGACUAUUUUAUAGCCACUAAAAAGUAUUUAUUAAAUAGUUUGUCAUUAGAAGUAAAAAUUCUGACCAUAUCAUAUUAAAUAAUACUUAACAUAGUGUUGAACUUGGGGCUGCAAGAAAUUAUAAAGUAGUAUUCACAGCUCAUUUUCGAAGUUAGGUAUUUCUGACUUCAAGGAUGUAGAAACUCAUCUUUAUUAAGUCAUGCAGCAGGCAUGCAGUAUGUAGGCAAUGUACAUGAACACAUUUUUUAAAUUUGUAAACUCAUUUUAUUUCUAGACAUGCUUGACUAAUUAAAAAAUCCAUAAUAUGCAGGAAGAUAUCUCUGAAUCAAAUGGAUUUUUUAAAGAUACGUAGAUAGUCCUGUUUCAGAGCACUGAUUUCCUUCUCAUACCAUAACCUUCUACCCCUGGCCUACGAGGUUACUAUUUAGUCUACUUACCAUGAUGCAAUUCUUUUUUCUC
rnacentral:lncRNA from 1 species